rnacentral:rRNA from 1 species
GGCCCCUUAUCGGGGUUGCGGACAGUGUCUGGUGGGUAGUUUGACUGGGGCGGUCUCCUCCUAAAGAGUAACGGAGGAGCACGAAGGUUGGCUAAUCCUGGUCGGACAUCAGGAGGUUAGUGCAAUGGCAUAAGCCAGCUUGACUGCGAGCGUGACGGCGCGAGCAGGUGCGAAAGCAGGUCAUAGUGAUCCGGUGGUUCUGAAUGGAAGGGCCAUCGCUCAACGGAUAAAAGGUACUCCGGGGAUAACAGGCUGAUACCGCCCAAGAGUUCAUAUCGACGGCGGUGUUUGGCACCUCGAUGUCGGCUCAUCACAUCCUGGGGCUGAAGUAGGUCCCAAGGGUAUGGCUGUUCGCCAUUUAAAGUGGUACGCGAGCUGGGUUUAGAACGUCGUGAGACAGUUCGGUCCCUAUCUGCCGUGGGCGCUGGAGAACUGAGGGGGGCUGCUCCUAGUACGAGAGGACCGGAGUGGACGCAUCACUGGUGUUCGGGUUGUCAUGCCAAUGGCACUGCCCGGUAGCUAAAUGCGGAAGAGAUAAGUGCUGAAAGCAUCUAAGCACGAAACUUGCCCCGAGAUGAGUUCUCCCUGACCCUUUAAGGGUCCUGAAGGAACGUUGAAGACGACGACGUUGAUAGGCCGGGUGUGUAAGCGCAGCGAUGCGUUGAGCUAACCGGUACUAAUGAACCGUGAGG